GACGAACGCUGGCGGCGUGCUUAACACAUGCAAGUCGAACGGUGAAGCGCCUUCCUUUUUGGUGGGUGUGGAUGAGUGGCGAACGGGUGAGUAACACGUGAGUAACCUGCCCCCUUCUUCUGGAUAACCGCAUGAAAGUGUGGCUAAUACGGGAUAUUCUGGGUCUGUCGCAUGAUGGGUCUGGGAAAGAUAUUGUUUCGGUGGGGGAUGGGCUCGCGGCCUAUCAGCUUGUUGGUGGGGUGAUGGCCUACCAAGGCGGUGACGGGUAGCCGGCCUGAGAGGGUGGACGGUCACACUGGGACUGAGACACGGCCCAGACUCCUACGGGAGGCAGCAGUGGGGAAUAUUGCACAAUGGGCGCAAGCCUGAUGCAGCGACGCCGCGUGAGGGAUGGAGGCCUUUGGGUUGUGAACCUCUUUCGCCAGUGAAGCAGGCCUGCCUCGUUUGUGGGUGGGUUGACGGUAGCUGGAUAAGAAGCGCCGGCUAACUACGUG
rnacentral:rRNA from 1 species